UACGUAGGGUGCAAGCGUUGUCCGGAAUUAUUGGGCGUAAAGAGCUCGUAGGCGGUUCGUCGCGUCGGCUGUGAAAUCCCGGAGCUCAACUCCGGGUCUGCAGUCGAUACGGGCGGACUUGAGUUCGGCAGGGGAGACUGGAAUUCCUGGUGUAGCGGUGAAAUGCGCAGAUAUCAGGAGGAACACCGGUGGCGAAGGCGGGACUCUGGGCCGAUACUGACGCUGAGGAGCGAAAGCGUGGGGAGCAAACAGG
rnacentral:rRNA from 1 species